GACGAACGCUGGCGGCGUGCCUAAUACAUGCAAGUCGAGCGAGCUUGCCUAGAUGAUUUUAGUGCUUGCACUAAAUGAAACUAGAUACAAGCGAGCGGCGGACGGGUGAGUAACACGUGGGUAACCUGCCCAAGAGACUGGGAUAACACCUGGAAACAGAUGCUAAUACCGGAUAUUAUGGUUUUUUCGCACGGAGGAAUCAUGAAAGCUGGAUGCGCUAAGAGGGAGCUUUGCGUCCCAUUAGCUAGUUGGUGAGGUAACGGCCCACCAAGGCAAUGAUGGGUAGCCGGCCUGAGAGGGUGAACGGCCACAAGGGGACUGAGACACGGCCCAA
rnacentral:rRNA from 1 species